ACCUCACUUUUUGUCCACUCAGAGGAAGAUAUACAUCACUACAUUCCAAAAGCACCAGCUCCGGUUACAAGCACCAAAGCCCGCGACCCAAUCCGGUUCAAUCUCGUCGGAUUCGUCACUGAUGAGGCUUGCCGGAGCUCCGGUGAAGCCAUAGCAGUUCAAGUUUGAAAAUCCCCACCCCUUUUCAAUGAAAGGCAUAACCCCGUUGAUCUUUGGAUUUAUUGAGAGUUUGGUUUUGAUUGAGGUCGAGUUUGAGGUUUUCGGACGCAGAUUCUAUUGGGUUAAUCCAAAUAAUACAUCGGUUUGGAAAGCGGCAUUGAGUUG